rnacentral:tRNA from 1 species
AAGAAAUUAGCUCAGUGGUAGAGCAGCCGUUUUACACACGGAAGGUCGAGUGUUCAAAUCACUUAUUUCUUAUCA